CCAAUAGCGUAUAUUAAAGUUGUUGCAGUUAAAAAGCUCGUAGUUGAAUUUCGGGGUUAGUAGAUUGGUCGUGCCACUGGUAUGUACUGGUCUUACUGAUUCCUCCUUCCUGAUGAACCGUAAUGCCAUUAAUUUGGUGUUGCGGGGAGACUGGACUGUUACUUUGAAAAAAUUAGAGUGUUUAAAGCAAGCUAACGCUUGAAUACAUUAGCAUGGAAUAAUGAAAUAGGACGUUCGAUCCUAUUUUGUUGGUUUCUAGGAUUGACGUAAUGAUUAAUAGGGAUAGUUGGGGGCAUUAGUAUUCAAUUGUCAGAGGUGAAAUUCUUGGAUUUAUUGAAGACUAACUACUGCGAAAGCAUUUGCCAAGGAUGUUUUCAUUAAUCAAGAACGAAAGUUAGGGGAUCGAAGACGAUCAGAUACCGUCGUAGUCUUAACCAUAAACUAUGCCGACUAGGGAUCGGAUGAUGUUAAUUUUUUAAUGACUCAUUCGGCGCCUUACG
rnacentral:rRNA from 1 species